CAUCCUCCAAGGCUAAAUACUCCUGACUGACCGAUAGUGAACCAGUACCGUGAGGGAAAGGCGAAAAGAACCCCGGCGAGGGGAGUGAAAAAGAACCUGAAACCGUGUACGUACAAGCAGUGGGAGCCCCACCACUAAGCCAGUGGUGAACUCCACAUACGCAUCCUUUGCUGAGGAUACGGUUAACGGAGCGAAAGCGACGUUCAACCUCAAAAGAAGCAGAGGGGGCUUAGUGGUGGGGUGACUGCGUACCUUUUGUAUAAUGGGUCAGCGACUUAUAUUCUGUAGCAAGGUUAACCGCAUAGGGGAGCCGGAGGGAAACCGAGUCUUAAUUGGGCGUUAAGUUGCAGGGUAUAGACCCGAAACCCGGUGAUCUAGCCAUGGGCAGGUUGAAGGUUGGGUAACACUAACUGGAGGACCGAACCGACUAAUGUUGAAAAAUUAGCGGAUGACCUGUGGCUGGGGGUGAAAGGCCAAUCAAACCGGGAGAUAGCUGGUUCUCCCCGAAAGCUAUUUAGGUAGCGCCUCGUGAAUUCAUCUCCGGGGGUAGAGCACUGUUUCGGCUAGGGGGCCAUCCCGGCUUACCAACCCGAUGCAAACUGCGAAUACCGGAGAAUGUUAUCACGGGAGACACACGGCGGGUGCUAACGUCCGUCGUGAA
rnacentral:rRNA from 1 species